UACAAACGAAAAGCCUCUAAUCCUCUAGCUAUAUUUAUCAGUGCUUUCUAAAAGAGUUGUACGCUCAUCACAAAUCAGUCGUUGUAGGCCUGGAGUCUGAAUUAGCGAAAAGAAAAACAGGAAGAAACUGAAGAGAGGAAUCAACAGAAAAAACUAUUUAAAUGUUCUAAAUUGCCUAACACACAAACAGUAAAUUCUCAUGUUUUUGACCAGGUGUUUGAGGAAACAGAAGUGUGAAGUGGUGAAAAGGGCAUCGACUGUUCAGGGUAGGGUGGAAGGUAAAGGAGAACUUAUGUGGGGUGAAGGAUAGCAGGUCAACGAUGGCAUCUCUCUGUCCCAGCAGAGAACGGCGGGUAGCAUGUAGGCCGGCUGAGAUGAGCAGCAGGAAGAAUAAGUACUGAAGACUAGGCAAGGCCUGAAAAGUAAAGAUGAGGAUUACACGCUUUAAAGAGGAAAGCAAGGUCAACUAUAGGAAGAAAUACAGCCCUGAACUAGUAGGUAGGAAGAGUGUGAAAAUCAUCAGCAUUGAAGAGAUUGAAUGAAGUCGCUGAGAGGCCAAGGCAGAGGGAGGAGAGAGGAGAAGAAAAGAAGUAUAUCAAAGACAGAAACCAGCAGAAACAUCCACUAAAUCCUGCCAAGUGGUUCUACACUUUCUAAGGCACUAGCACUGAUGCUUAAACUGAUUCAACUCAACAAUCCACCAGAAAACUCUACGUUUCUGCUCAAUGAGUGCAUUGAAUUGAUUCACCAAGGGAUCUAAUGAGCACCAAAAUUAGCAACCAUUUCUGUAGUCUAGGUGCCAUGCAAAGAGGAGCUGAAGGCUCUGAAAGCAGGAAAGAUGAGAGGAGCUAACGGCCUUGCUGUUGCAAUGAAGAGAAUAUGGAAGCUACUUCAGAAGAGUGGUUUUCAGAGAGUGGGAAGGGACCAAGUUAUUGGGAGCCAUAUACAGAAAAGAAAAACAGCAAGCAACAGACUUCUUCCAUCCAUAAAGAGGUAGCAAUUUAGAAGAUGAUGCCACAGGAACACCCAGCAACAGCUGAGCUGUAGAUUUACUACUACGUACUGCUGUCUUCUAAAGCACUUAUUUGGCUUGACACAGGCACAAGAUCAGCCAGUUAAUAAGCAGGACAAAGGGAAUACAUUGAACCUGCAUGUUGAGAAGUUUCUAAUAAGUUAUCAAGAAAAAUACUGAGAUUCUGAAAAUGCAUGUGGAUGUAUUCGUAAGUGGUGCUUUUGGAGUUAGGUUUAUAUUUAUGAUCGCCUAAUUGCAGCCCUUAUCUAAAGUCUUUAAGAGUACUGUAUCUAGCAUGGUAACACCAGCUAUUUGGGGCCUCUACUUUUACUCUAAAAUAAACAUCUUGGUUUAAGUGCUGUUUUCUGAAGGGGUGCAGUAUUU